AAUAGAUACCCCGGUAGUCCACGCCGUAAACGAUGAGUGCUAAGUGUUAGAGGGUUUCCGCCCUUUAGUGCUGCAGCUAACGCAUUAAGCACUCCGCCUGGGGAGUACGGUCGCAAGACUGAAACUCAAAGGAAUUGACGGGGGCCCGCACAAGCGGUGGGGCAUGUGGUUUAAUUCGAAGCAACGCGAAGAACCUUACCAGGUCUUGACAUCCCACUGACCGGUAUAGAGAUAUACCUUUCCCUUCGGGGACAGUGGUGACAGGUGGUGCAUGGUUGUCGUCAGCUCGUGUCGUGAGAUGUUGGGUUAAGUCCCGCAACGAGCGCAACCCUUGAUCUUAGUUGCCAGCAUUUAGUUGGGCACUCUAAGGUGACUGCCGGUGACAAACCGGGAGGAAGGUGGGGAUGACGUCAAAUCAUCAUGCCCCUUAUGACCUGGGCUACACACGUGCUACAAUGGCGUAUACAAAGUGUUGCAAGCCAGCGAUGGUGAGCCAAUCACAAAAAGUCGUCUCAGUUCGGAUUGCAGG
rnacentral:rRNA from 1 species